UUAAAGAGCACCAAUUAUGCUAAUAAAUUGGCACGUUAGCACGUUAUUGCAAUAUCCCAUAGUACAUACAUGUUAUUAAAACUUGAACUAAUGCAUUGUGAGUCUUAUAAAUUGCUUACAUACCUCACCGAUUUCCCACUGUCUGGAAAACGCUCGGUUUAGUUCCUGUCUCCGCCUCCCAAAAUGUCUAGUGUAAUCGGAUUGGUCAGAUGACUACUCAACUGUUAUUGGUCAGCUGGGUUCGGCGUGUGUUUGAAAGGUUACGCCCCUGACUACGCGUGGGUUGACACAGAUUCUGACUGAGAGUCACAGCCUCAGAGGCAACGUAAACAAGCGUUAUAUUUCUCUAUAAACGAUGGUGUCUGUACUGCCUUACCACUUCAAGCUCGAUCCAGAGAGUUCAGAAGGCCGUUACGAUAUAAACGAUCUCCGUCAAUGAAUGCGAUUGGAUUUAACUUUUUUAGGUGUCCUUAGCUCUGCCAGAAUGCUAAACGAAGACGAAAAUGUGUUGCAAAGACAUCCAAAAGGUUUUAAGGAGAAUGCAACAUGUUCCAGGGCCUCUUACCUGCGUGAUUCAUCAUCCAGAUAUGCUUGGAGCUUCCUGAUUGGAAUGUUGGCUUCCGACGACCCCUGCACUGAAGAUGGCAUGCAAUCACGUCCUCCUUUGAAGGUUUCUCAAACUGUGAUGCCAGGUCCAUUGGAAUCGGGGUUUCCUUCAGCUUAUCUUCAAAUACCUCAUCAAACACAAGCCUGAUCACAUCAUCCACAUAACUGUAGAAAUAUUGCAGUCAAUAAAUCUUUUGUUUUGAUCAUUUAUUUCCCUGCUUCAUACAUUAAGUUUUUAAUUAUGAAUGUAUUUGAAAUAAAACAUUACUGCUUA